AUUGAACGCUGGCGGCAUGCCUUACACAUGCAAGUCGAACGGCAGCACGGACUUCGGUCUGGUGGCGAGUGGCGAACGGGUGAGUAAUGCAUCGGAACGUACCAUUGAGUGGGGGAUAACGUAGCGAAAGUUACGCUAAUACCGCAUAUUCUCUCCGGAGGAAAGCAGGGGAUCGUAAGACCUUGUGCUCUUUGAGCGGCCGAUGUCGGAUUAGCUAGUUGGUGGGGUAAAGGCCCACCAAGGCUACGAUCCGUAGCGGGUCUGAGAGGAUGAUCCGCCACCCUGGGACUGAGACACGGCCCAGACUCCUACGGGAGGCAGCAGUGGGGAAUUUUGGACAAUGGGGGCGACCCUGAUCCAGCCAUGCCGCGUGAGUGAAGAAGGCCUUCGGGUUGUAAAGCUCUUUCAGCCGGGAAGAAAACGCAUGGGUUAACACCCUGUGUGGAUGACGGUACCGGAAUAAGAAGCACCGGCUAACUACGUGCCAGCCGCCGCAGUAAGAC
rnacentral:rRNA from 1 species